rnacentral:rRNA from 1 species
GACGAACGCUGGCGGCGUGCUUAACACAUGCAAGUCGAACGGAAAGGCCCCUUUGGGGGUACUCGAGUGGCGAACGGGUGCGUAACACGUGAGUAACCUGCCCUUGACUUCGGGAUAACUUCAGGAAACUGGGGCUAAUACCGGAUAGGAAUCCUUGCUGCAUGGUGGGGGUUGGAAAGCUUCGGCGGUUUUGGAUGGACUCGCGGCUUAUCAGCUUGUUGGUGGGGUAGUGGCUUACCAAGGCUUUGACGGGUAGCCGGCCUGAGAGGGCGACCGGCCACAUUGGGACUGAGAUACGGCCCAGACUCCUACGGGAGGCAGCAGUGGGGAAGAUUGCACAAUGGGCGGAAGCCGGAUGCAGCAACGCCGCGUGCGGGAUGACGGCCUUCGGGUUGUAAACCGCUUUCAGCAGGGGCGAAGCUUGUGGUGACGGUACCUGCAGAAGAAGCACCGGCUAACUACGUG